CCCGAAGGGGCCCCGCUGACCGGCCCAUUCACAGUGGCGGUCCAUAAAUGAGCGGGUUGAACCCCACACAGGCACAGCAUUUCAAAUCACGGACUUUGGAACACAGCCAAGAUGCCAGGAACAAAAGGUAAUAAAUCGGACAAGAAGUCAGCUCCCAAGCAACCUCAGAGUCCUAAGGAGCAGCCGAAGAAAGGUGAUCAGAAAGGAGAUGAUAACAAGAAGCAAGGAGCAGGACAGCCGAAGGGAGAGAAGCAAUAACUUCCAGGCCUUCGUGAAGAUGGCUUUGGAGACACUGCUGGGGUCCUGCCGUCGUAAGCACGCGGGUCCUCAGGGCAGGCAGGGCUGAGUUAACCUACAUGGCUCUCCCCUCCUCCCCCCCACCGCCGCCACCACCACCCCUCCUCCUCUCCCUGGGCGAGGGUGUUUCAGACAGCAUCUGCUCCCCCCGCAGAGGGGCCCAGAGCCCGACGUGAUCUCCAUCCAUCACCAUCUGCCCUCACUCUCCCCUCCACCCUCCUCUGCUCCCCCCCCCUCUCUUUCUUUCCUGUUUCCCUCCUUUCUCCGCUUGAGUCUGCUGUACGGCAGGUCCAACCAGGGGUCCGCGCUCAGAGCAAAAAACACUGAAGACCUUCCCAGUCCUUCCCAACUCACCCCUACCUUCCCCCAACAUCGACCCCUUUUCUCUUUGCCCAUGACCCUUGGAACAUGAUUGGCUGUCUAACGGCCCAUUCAUUCCUCUUGUAAAUAAACAUUGAAAUAAACAAUUAUUUCUUACAGCA